CUGCUGCCUCCCGUAGGAGUCUGGUCCGUGUCUCAGUACCAGUGUGGGGGACCUUCCUCUCAGAACCCCUACGCAUCGUCGCCUCGGUGGGCCGUUACCCCGCCGACUAGCUAAUGCGCCGCAUGCCCAUCCGUAGCCGGAAUCGCUUCCUUUAAUCCCUCAGGAAUGCCCCCGAAAGAUAUUACGCGGUAUUAGACGGAAUUUCUUCCGCUUAUCCCCCUGCUACGGGCAGGUCGCAUACGUGUUACUCACCCGUGCGCCGGUCGCCCG
rnacentral:rRNA from 1 species